rnacentral:rRNA from 1 species
AGCAGCCGCGGUAAUUCCAGCUCCAAUAGCGUAUAUUAAAGUUGUUGCAGUUAAAAAGCUCGUAGUUGAAUUUCGGGAUCAGUUGGUCGGUCGUGCCUCGGUACGUACUGGUCAAAUUGAUUCCUACCUUCUGACGAACCACGAUGUCAUUAAUUUGGUGUCGCGGGAAAUCAGGACUGUUACUUUGAAAAAAUUAGAGUGUUUAAAGCAGGCUCGCGCUUGAAUACAUUAGCAUGGAAUAAUGAAAUAGGACGUUCGAUCCUAUUUUGUUGGUUUCUAGGAUUGACGUAAUGAUUAAUAGGGAUAGUUGGGGGCAUUAGUAUUCAAUUGUCAGAGGUGAAAUUCUUGGAUUUAUUGAAGACUAACUACUGCGAAAGCAUUUGCCAAGGAUGUUUUCAUUAAUCAAGAACGAAAGUUAGGGGAUCGAAGACGAUCAGAUACCGUCGUAGU